CAGAACUCUGCAUCUUGUGACAAGGGCAUUUCUGGUAACUCAUACACGUUCCUCUGAAAGCACCAUUACCAUCUCAAAGGACAAGGGCAGCAGAUACAUGGGAACGUCACCAUUUGCAACUUGCCUUCCAAGCCACUGACCAUCCUGACUUGAAAAUAUAUUGUCAUUCCUCCGCUGCUGCUCGGUCAAAUUCUGCAAUGCGCAGGGGCAUCCACACCACAGACUGCAGCAGUUCCAGAAGGUCGCUCACCACCACCUUGUCAAAGGAAAUCGGGGAUGGGCGAUAUAUGCCGGCCCCAGCAGUGAUUUCCACACCCCUGAACAAAUAAAAACAACAUGAGGGAUCUGUGCAGUUAUCAACCUGGGACCAUGCCUGAGAAUCGAGGCCUUCCUUGAAGAGAAGGAGUGAAAUACCAACAAACUCUGCAUCGUCACCCUGACUGAGACUAGCUGAAUCCUUAUUGGCUGCCAGAGACCUGCACUCCAUUGCCAUAGCCAUUGGAGUUCAACUACAAGGUGGCUCAGGAAAUUUGACAUGUCCAUAAGGCCCCUCACCAAUUCCUACAAAUGCACCAUUGAAAACAUACUGUCCGGGUGCAUAACGGCCUGGUAUGGCAACUGCUCUGCCCAGGACUGUAAGAAACUACAGAAGGUGACGUGCACAGCCCAACCCAUCACAGAAGCUCACUGCCAUGGAAAGACAGCCAACAUCAUCAAGCACCCACACACCCGGGUAAUGAUCUUCCACAAUCUCUUCCAUCAGGCAGGGGAGACAGAAACCCGAAUGAUUGAGCAAGCAGAUUCAGGAACAGCUUCUUCCUGGCCGUAAUCAGACUGUUGAAUGGAUUCUAGCCUCACAUAAUGUAACCUGCAAUGUAACCUGUAUGUCUCUCAGUCUUUUUGAUCUAUACAUCCUUUGCUUGUUGUGAUCUGCCUGCACCACUCAUAAACAAAGCUUUUCACUGGAUUUUGGUACAAUAAAUAAAUCAAUUAAUCAGUCAAAAUAUAUAGCUGGGGUUCAAAAGAAUAUUCCAGGCAAUGUUAGCCUUUCAGGUAGCAAUAGCUAGUAGCCAGUUUGGAUUCUAUGAGAUUCCUACCCAGAUACCUGUUGUGAAGCAUAAAAGAUGAAGUGCACAUGCAUUUUCAGUGAUCUUAUCAACAUCACAUUCUGUUAACAAACUGGAAGUUAGUUCUGUUAGGAUCUACAAGUCUGCCCUCAGCCAAUGAUGGCAAUAAAAGGACAAAGCAGCAGUCUGUGGCUGUUCAAUGAUGCUGGGAAACUGGUAGAAUUUGCUGUUUGUCUGAAUACUAUAGUGUCUUGAGAAUUUGGUUCUGUCACUCCUGAUUCGAGGCUGGGGUCUUGAAGGUUGUCAGUAAUAGAGAAAAUGAACUCUGUCAUCACACCUUCACUUAGCAUCA